rnacentral:snRNA from 1 species
ACAUGGCCCACGCGGGUCAAAGUACAGUAUCUGUUCUUAUCAGCCUGAUGUCUGAUACGGGUUGUAUUUGGACGUAAGACAUAUAAACUUAUAUUUACAAGUUGGCAGAGUGCUUAAACCCUGCUUCACCUCCUCUGCGAGUGGGCCCGGUAUUGUACUAUCUUCCGGAUUGGCCCAAGUAUG